rnacentral:ncRNA from 1 species
UGCUUGCGCUCUGUGCUAGGCUUUCUCCUCGACAAAAAGAGCGCUGUGGAGAGGGGAAUCCGGUAGGAGUCCGGAGCGGUCCCGCCACUGUAAGCGGCAAGGUCGGGCUCGGAGUUUCGGGAGGGAGCGGUCCUCUCUCCCCGGUCACUGGAGGCGAGAAGCCUCCGGGAAGGCCGUAGAGCCCCGCCGGAAGAUUCACCACCCAAGCCGCAAGCCAGGAGACCCGCCCGGCGCGAGACCCGAGA